AUCUCUACAAUGCUGGUGCCAGAAAAAAAUGAACCCCAGUACAUUUUGAAAAGUAGUUAGUGAUAGGAAGGGUUUUCAGCCAGAAAAACCAAGGUAAAAAUGAAAUGUGAACAAGAUGAGCUUACUCCCAGUAGGUUAACAGAGGGGGAAAAUUUCACAAGCAGUAGGUGCACAGGAUCACUUAUUAAAUGGCCACAACGGAAAUACUAAUGAGUCAUGGCGCCUUGUUAUGUUAUAGUGGCAAAAUAUAGCAAUAACAAAGCCUUUCCAACGAGUGUGUGAGAUGAUUUCUGCAGAAAACUACCUAGAGUCAAUAACGCUAAUUUUAUUAAUUCUGGGAGCAUAUAUUGAAAGGAGUCGAUAAGACAGGAGUUUAAUUAAUAAGGUGGAGACUAAAUUGAGAAAGAAAAUGAAAUAGUGUGAGGUUGAAUCCUUCCACAAAGGCUAAAAAGCGAUUUCGUCAUAAGGCACAGGAUCAUUAAAACUUCACACAAUCAUCAGAGAA